AAGAAUUGAGUUUUGAAAAGAAAAGACCAAGGAGGCAUUUGCCAGGUUCGGCCGCCAAAAGUGAAGUUCGGCCGCCGAACAUGGAAAGGUUUCGGGAGCGCUUUUGGCCUCCGAAAGCUUUGUUUGAACUAAUCAAGGUUCAGCCGCCGAACCUCAAGUUCGGCCGCCGAACAUGCAUGAGUUUAGGGGGCACGUUAGGCUGCCGAAGGUCUUUGACCAGGCCACCUAUAAAGAGCCCUCAGAUCGAAAAUG
rnacentral:lncRNA from 1 species